UACGUAGGGUGCAAGCGUUAAUCGGAAUUACUGGGCGUAAAGAGUGCGCAGGCGGCUAUGCAAGUCAGAUGUGAAAUCCCCGGGCUCAACCUGGGAACUGCAUUUGUGACUGCAUGGCUAGAGUACGGUAGAGGGGGAUGGAAUUCCGCGUGUAGCAGUGAAAUGCGUAGAUAUGCGGAGGAACACCGAUGGCGAAGGCAAUCCCCUGGACCUGUACUGACGCUCAUGCACGAAAGCGUGGGGAGCAAACAGG
rnacentral:rRNA from 1 species